rnacentral:rRNA from 1 species
GACGAACGCUGGCGGCGUGCCUAAUACAUGCAAGUUGAGCGCCGAAGGUUGGUGCUUGUACCAACUGGAUGAGCAGCGAACGGGUGAGUAACGCGUGGGGAAUCUGCCUUUGAGCGGGGGACAACAUCGGGGAAAGAAUGCUAAUACCGCAUAAAAACUUUAAACACAAGAUUUAAGUUUGAAAGAUGCAAUUGCAUCACUCAAAGAUGAUCCCGCGUUGUAUUAGCUAGUUGGUGAGGUAAAGGCCCACCAAGGCGAUGAUACAUAGCCGACCUGAGAGGGUGAUCGGCCACAUUGGGACUGAGACACGGCCCAAACCCCUACGGGAGGCAGCAGUAGGGAAUCUUCGGCAAUGGACGAAAGUCUUACCGAGCACCGCCGCGUGAGUGAAGAAGGUUUUCGGAUCGUAAAACUCUGUUGGUAGAGAAGAACGUUGGUGAGAGUGGAAAGCUCAUCAAGUGACGGUAACUACCCAGAAAGGGACGGCUAACUACGUG